GUGUUAUAUGAAAGGAGACAAGGUUAGCACUCCCCUUGACAAAGAUGGAUGAGGCUCUCAGGUCUGACAACAUGCAUACAGUUAAGACAUUGUCAACUACUUUGUGGCAUCUAACCACUGUUUAGG
ensembl:snRNA